ACGAACGCUGGCGGCGUGCUUAACACAUGCAAGUCGAACGGUGAAGCGCCUUCCUUUUUGGUGGGUGUGGAUGAGUGGCGAACGGGUGAGUAACACGUGAGUAACCUGCCCCCUUCUUCUGGAUAACCGCAUGAAAGUGUGGCUAAUACGGGAUAUUCUGGGUCUGUCGCAUGAUGGGUCUGGGAAAGAUAUUGUUUCGGUGGGGGAUGGGCUCGCGGCCUAUCAGCUUGUUGGUGGGGUGAUGGCCUACCAAGGCGGUGACGGGUAGCCGGCCUGAGAGGGUGGACGGUCACACUGGGACUGAGACACGGCACAGACUCAUACGGGAGGCAGCAGUGGGGAAUAUUGCACAAUGGGCGCAAGCCUGAUGCAGCGACGCCGCGUGAGGGAUGGAGGCCUUCGGGUUGUGAACCUCUUUCGCCAGUGAAGCAGGCCUGCCUCGUUUGUGGGUGGGUUGACGGUAGCUGGAUAAGAAGCGCCGGCUAACUACGUG
rnacentral:rRNA from 1 species